rnacentral:misc_RNA from 1 species
CUAGGACCAAAUGCCUUAGAAAUAUAGGCAAUUGGAUGCCCUUGCUGCUAUAAAACUGCACCCAUUCCCCAAUUGCUUGCAUCAGUUUCCACAAUAAAUGGCUUAGAAAAAUUAGGAAGAGCAAGGACUGGUGCUUCAGACAUCAAUCUCCUCAAAGUAUCAAAUGCUGUUUGGGCUGCCUUAUUCCAAUGAAAAGAAUCUUUCUUCAAUAAUUCAGUAAGAGGCCUGCAGAUAAUGCCAUAGUGCCUUACAAAUUUCCUAUAAUAUCCAGUGAGGCCUAAAAAACUUCUGAGUUCUUUAACAGACGAAGGCACAGGCCAAUCAACCAUGGCAGCCACCUUCUUAGGGUCGGUAGAUACCCCUGCCCCUGAAAUUAUAUGCCCCAAGUAUUCAAUCUCAGUUUGCCCAAAAAAACAUUUAGACUGCUUUGCAAAUAAUUGUUGGGCCUGUAGUACUUUAAAAACUUCCUCCAAAUGCAGCAAAUUAGACUCCAUGUCCUUGCUAAACACCAAAAUGUCAUCAAAAAAUACUAACACAAACUUCCUCAAAAAUGGUUGGAAGAUGUGAUUCAUUAAGGCUUGAAAUGUUGCAGGAGCAUUAGUGAGCCCAAAAAGCAUCACUUUGAAUUCAAAAUGCCCAUGGUGUGUUCUAAAGGCUGUCUUAGGAAUAUCCUCGGGCAACAUCCUAAUUUGGUGAUAUCCAGCCCUCAAAUCUAUCUUAGAAAACACUUUAGCCCCAUUCAAUUCAUCCAACAAGUCAUCAAUAAUGGG